GGCACCGAGAGCUCUGCCCGGGUCCGGUGACUCCGCAGCCCCCGGUGGGCACCGAGAGCUCUUCCUCCCGGAUUCCCCCUUUCACUCCCGCAGGUUCGGGAGGAGCUCACGGCGAACCGGGCCGGGCUCUCCCCGUGCCCCGGUUCGGUCGCUGGUCCUGGCUGCUCGGUGUUUUGAAUUCUUUAACAAUUUUUAGCCUAUUCACACUUAAUUCAGCACGGUAGAACCGAAACUUAAGACUGAAGGAGUGGGUGAAUCAUGGAAAGUGUGUGCUGUAAUAGUUUCUUUUUACAGAAUUGCUUUUUAAUUCUCCUUCUAAACCUCACAUUUAUCACCUGGAGCUGCCCAGCUUGGCCACAUCCCCGCUCCUUCUGUGCCUCCGAGGGUUUCCUGAGGGUUUCUCCAGCCUGGGUCUGGCACCAGUGGGAUGGAGAGGAGGCAAUUCCUGCCCUGGGUGGGAAAAACCCGGCAAAAACCGAGCUGGCCCUUGGGUUGUGUAAUGCCCAUGUCCUGCCUGGCCAUGCCUGGGCUUGGUGUGGAGCUGUGCUGGUGCCUCCAGGGAGCACAGUGGGGUUUAGAGAACGGGGUUUGGCCUCUGAGCAGGUUUAGGCUUGGCUUUAUGGAAAUUAGGGGCUGGAGAGUGGGGUUUGGCCCCUCAGCAGGUUUAGGUUUGGCUUUAUGGAGAUUUGGGUCUGGAGAGUGGGGUUUGGCCUCUGAGCAAUGUUCAGGUUUGGUUUUAUGGAGCAGACUGGGUAACAGCUCACCCCACGGACCAUGGGUCAGUUUGUGCCUGGACUCUGUGCCUCCCUCAGUGGGAGGGACCCUGACUUUGACCUGGCUGUGCAAAGCUUAAGGGCAGCUUUAAUAGCUAUUUUAAAUGGCAAAAAAAAGAGGGUUAGCUCCUCAAUUACCCCCUUCCCAAAGCGAGAAACAAAGCUCAGGCCAGGCAGGAACAUGAACCCAGCAGGGCUCUGCCACCUCGAGCAAGUCCCAGUGCUGUGAACACCCCGGGCACUCCUCCCUCUGCGGGGGGAGAGGUUGUUUUUAGUCUGAAGGUGACUCUGGAGAAUGUUAUCUGCUCUCUGCCUGCCUCCCCUGCUGUCCUGCUGGCUCGGAUACCGCGCUGUGCCCGGGGAGGCAUCCGGGCUCAGAUCUAUGGGGAGCGCCUGGGCUUUGGGAGCUGAGCCCCAUCUGCAGCCUCCCACCCUCUGGGAAACCCUGGCAACAGCCCUGAUCGAUCCCAGUGGGUUUGUGCUGGUCAUUCUCCUGUGUUUGGGGCUCUACAUUCACUUUCCCUAGCCCAGGGAGGGCAUUAAUCCCAUGGGAAUGCGAGUGCUGCUUGCUGGAGCUUUUUAACCUGUUUGAACUGCCCCACAUGCAGCCUGUACCCUCUGGAAAAUGUGGCAGCAGCCCUGAUCUAUCCCAGUGGUUUUUUGCUGGUCAUUCUCCUCUCUCUUGU
rnacentral:lncRNA from 1 species